GACGUAGGGCGCGAGCGUUGUCCGGAUUUAUUGGGCGUAAAGAGCUCGUAGGCGGCUUGUCGCGUCGACUGUGAAAUCCCGCGGCUCAACUGCGGGUCUGCAGUCGAUACGGGCAAACUAGAGUGUUGCAGGGGAGACUGGAAUUCCUGGUGUAGCGGUGAAAUGCGCAGAUAUCAGGAGGAACACCGGUGGCGAAGGCAGGUCUCUGGGCAUUAACUGACGCUGAGGCACGAAAGCGUGGGGAGCAAACAGG
rnacentral:rRNA from 1 species